rnacentral:misc_RNA from 1 species
GAAAUGCGAUAAGUAAUGUGAAUUGCAGAAUUCCGUGAAUCAUCGAAUCUUUGAACGCACAUUGCGCCCUCUGGUAUUCCGGGGGGCAUGCCUGUCCGAGCGUCAUUGACACAAAUCAAGCACGGCUUGUGUGUUGGGCCUUCGUCCCUUCAAAGGGACGUGCUCGAAACGCAGAGGCGGCGUCGCGGUUAUCCGACCAGCCAGAGUGUAUGGGGCUUUGUCACGCACUUUAGGCCUAGGACCGGCGCCAGUCGACCUAUUCUUUCCAUCAAGGUUGACCUCGGAUCAGGUAGGGAUACCCGCUGAACUUAA